rnacentral:rRNA from 1 species
GGGCCCGCACAAGCGGUGGAGUAUGUGGUUUAAUUCGAUGCAACGCGAAGAACCUUACCAGGGCUUAAAUGUAGUGGGACAGGUCUAGAGAUAGACCCUUCUUCGGACUCAUUACAAGGUGCUGCAUGGUUGUCGUCAGCUCGUGCCGUGAGGUGUCAGGUUAAGUCCUAUAACGAGCGCAACCCCUAUCGUUAGUUGCCAGCGAGUAAUGUCGGGAACUCUAACGAAACUGCCAGUGCAAACUGUGAGGAAGGUGGGGAUGACGUCAAAUCAUCACGGCCCUUACGUCCUGGGCUACACACGUGCUACAAUGGCCGGUACAGAGAGCAGCCACUUCGCAAGAAGGAGCGAAUCUAUUAAAACCGGUCUCAGUUCGGAUCGGAGUCUGCAACUCGACUGCGUGAAGCUGGAAUCGCUAGUAAUCGC